UUCUAUUUUUGAUGGUCGAGCUCUUGAGUGGGUUUUAGCUCAUGAAAAGCGGUUGCCAGAUGGAACAUGGGGCAUUGACCCAAAAGAUACGGAGACUUUUCGAAUUUCCAAUAUAGUUGUAUUUCAUAGUUUAUCUAAACAAAGAAAUCUACUGACAUUACAGAUUUCAGGUCAUCUAAUUAACUUUUUCUAUGUUUUGUCAAACAGGAAGAGAACUUGCAAAAACAAGCAAAGGAAUCUAAGGAAGGAGAGUGCAAACAAUCAGAGCGAGGCGCUGAUGCCCUUACUUUAGCAUUUGGGAAAAAGGAACAUCGUGGAUUUGUGAAAGGACUUGGUGGAUGUGAGAUUGGUGUCGGCUAUAGAAAAGCAUUUGGCCCGGUAAAAGGUAAAAACAUGUCUAAAAAUGGUUGCUCAUUACAAGAACUAGAUUAAUUUAAAGAGAACUUAACCCGGGAAUUUGAAGAAAAAUUAAAGGAAGGCAUUACAGCAGCUGUAAAUUCUUAUCUUUCUGCUUUCAUACCACACAUGCCUGCUAAUGAUUUGCAAGUAAAUGAUGCUCAACCUUCCCCAUCUUCCUCAACCAAUCUAAUGGAGCUAAGUCCUCGCUUGUUAGAGGUCCCAACUAAAUGUCGUCUUGCUUUAGUUGAUGAGUUCAGUGGGAACUCAGUGAUUGUGGCCGAUGGAACGACUGCACCUUGUCCUAGUGGAGUGAUUCAUCACAAGAAAAUGAACCGUGACAUCUACAGAGUUAGUGUUGACCAUGUUUACAGUGAUUAUUCUCACCUAAAUCUCCCAGAAGAGACUGAUGAUGGUAUCACUAAGCUGGGUCAGGUGAAAGGUUAUUUUUUGGGGUGGCCGACAGAUUUAGUCUUCUUUACUGAUGAGGUUAUGACUUUGGCAAAAAAGAUGGAUAAUGAAUUGGUGCAAACCAAAGAGAAAGUUGAUAGUUGCGGACCUAUUAACUCAGAGCAUUCAACUAUUAAAGGAAAAGGCAUAACUAUUCCGGAAAAUAUUGUUGAGAGUCUUGGUGAACAGAGUGUUCUAUGUUGUAUUAUUAUUGCAUGCAUGACUUCAGGAAGUGGAGAUUAUGAUACUACGACAAUUCCAUUGAAGGCUCCAUUGUUUUAUCAAGAGGAAGACACACAAAUUUAUGUUACUAGUGAUGAUGUCUCUGAAUUACUACGAGGAGCAUGGGCUAAUAUUUCAUUAAUCCAUGUCUACAUAUUGUACUUAAUUGAAGAAUAUAUCUCAUUAUUUCAGAAGACUAAAAUCAAAUUCUUGUACCCCUAAAAUAUUUCUGCAGCUAAAAUCAAGAAAGAUUUCCUUGAAGUCCAAAUGUAUUUGAAAAAUGCUUUUCUUACUAAAUUAAGGAAAAAGGAUGCACAAUGCAAAUUCCUUUUGGCUCCAUAUAUGGAAGCGAAUCAUUGGGUACUCUAUGUGAUUGAUUUGCGUAUGAGUCUUUUGUAUGAGUUUGAUUCUUUUAUUCAAUCACCUCCGAAUGCUCGAAACUCAGAGUUGUCCAAAAUAAUGAAGAUGCCUUACAACGUAUAUAGGUCACACCUCAAAAGAAAUGCUUUCAAAAUGAGUAAGCCACAAUUACUACACAUAAGAAUGGAGGUACCUAGGAUUAGUCUUUGCAAGGGAAUCAAGAUGGGCUAUAUUAACUAAGCAAGGAGGAAAUAAUCGGCUUGGAGAGGGCUCAGAGAGGGCAUGGAGAGAGCAUCAAGCCCUACCAGUCCGCCGCGGGUGCGGGUACUGAAGGCCGCGGGCGCGGGCUCAUAUGCACCAAAUUGGCAGAUUUUGACCAAGAACUCUCCGCGGGCUUUCCACGGGCUUGCCGCGGGUAGUUUUGAGAGCUCGCUCGUACCAGAGAGACCGCGACCCUCUGAUCACCCUUUGGGAGCAGGGGAUUCUCCACGCUUUUGCCGCGGGCGUGGGUGCUUUUGCCGAGGGCGCGGGUUAGAAGACCCGCGGGCACGGGUGUUGCACAGAAAGCCCGUGGAGUUUUUAGUGGGUUCAAUACCCAUUUUUCCGCGGGCGCGGGGUUAAUAGGAGAGGGCGCGGGAAUCCCGUUUUUCUUCUUUGCCUAUAAAUACACUUGUAAUUCCUUUUUGAAGAUAACUUUUAGAUAAUUUUCAUUAGCUUAAUUUUAGAGAGAGAAGUUAGAGAGAAGUUCUUGG